rfam:Echinococcus multilocularis genomic scaffold, pathogen_EmW_scaffold_07
GGCUCGGUGGUGUAGCGGUCAUCACGUCUGCUUUACACGCAGAAGGUCCCCGGUUCGAACCCGGGUCGAGUCA